GGCGAUGCAUAUUUUAAGCCACUUGAGAUAAUUUACUGUGUUUCUUGCUUUCAAAGGGGCCAAUUAUGAAAGAAAGAGACCCUUCUUGUGUCAUAUGAGCAAGGCAUCAACGAUAAUUUGAUCCCCUUGAUACAUGCAUUAAUAAACACUUUGGGAUGCCAGCAAACUCAGCAAGACAAUGUUCUUAGUUACCAGUCUCCAGUUCUAAGCAUUCUGAAGUGGGCCUAACUUAUGGCAACCUAAGCCCUGGGACUAAGGAAUUCGCUGCAGUGAAUGUGUCAGGAAAAUGAAGGCACUGUCUUUUUUUAUCUUCUGUAAGUUGCAACCAACAAGCAAAACCAAGUCCUGUGAUACCACUAGACUUUGCCAGUUCUGAAGUGUUGUACGGUUAACAUGUUCCUGCAAUGACAAAUCACGGGCUUCAUUAGGUAAUCUUCAGCACAUUUCAUUAAAAGAAAGAAUGCUGAUCAGAAUACAAGGCUGUGAUUUACUCAUAGCUUGCCAAGUGGAAUCUGCUACUUCUGCCUUUGAAAUUUGGAAAGUGGUACUUAUUUGAUCCGUGAGAUGGUGCAAGGCAUUGGAGGAGUAGGGAUUCAAACCGUGAGUAAUAUACGUCUAGCUACUGGGCAAUAUCAAGCCAGAAUUAGCGAUAUGAAUUCAACAUUCAAUGAAAAUGAAAUGAGACAGCAAGGUUUUUAUUGGUUCUAGUCUCAAUUCUGAUUUUAAUUAAAUCUGCC
rnacentral:misc_RNA from 1 species